GACCUACGGGAGGCAGCAGUGGGGGAUAUUGCACAAUGGGGGGAACCCUGAUGCAGCGACGCCGCGUGGGGGAAGAAGCGCCUCGGCGCGUAAAGCCCUUUCAGCAGGGAAGAAAAUGACGGUACCUGAAGAAGAAGCCCCGGCUAACUACGUGCCAGCAGCCGCGGUAAUACGUAGGUGGCAAGCGUUGUCCGGAUUUACUGGGGGUAAAGGGCGUGUAGCCGGGCCGGCAAGUCAGAUGUGAAAUCCCAAGGCACAACCUAG
rnacentral:rRNA from 1 species